GAUCCUGGCUCAGGAUGAACGCUAGCUACAGGCUUAACACAUGCAAGUCGGGGGGCGAGCAUGAACUUAGCUUGCUAAGUUUGAUGGCGACCGGCGCACGGGUGAGUAACACGUAUCCAACCUGCCGAUGACUCGGGGAUAGCCUUUCGAAAGAAAGAUUAAUACCCGAUGGCAUAGUUCUUCCGCAUGGUGGAACUAUUAAAGAAUUUCGGUCAUCGAUGGGGAUGCGUUCCAUUAGGUUG
rnacentral:rRNA from 1 species